GACGAACGCUGGCGGCGUGCUUAACACAUGCAAGUCGAACGAUGAACCCGGAGCUUGCUCCGGGGGAUUAGUGGCGAACGGGUGAGUAACACGUGAGUAACCUGCCCUGGACUCUGGGAUAAGCGUUGGAAACGACGUCUAAUACCGGAUAGGACCUUGGAUCGCAUGAUCUGGGGUGGAAAGUUUUUUCGGUCUGGGAUGGACUCGCGGCCUAUCAGCUUGUUGGUGAGGUAAUGGCUCACCAAGGCGUCGACGGGUAGCCGGCCUGAGAGGGUGACCGGCCACACUGGGACUGAGACACGGCCCAGACUCCUGCGGGAGGCAGCAGUGGGGAAUAGUGCACAAUGGGCGAAAGCCUGAUGCAGCAACGCCGCGUGCGGGAGGACGGCCUUCGGGUUGUAAACCGCUUUUAGUAGGGAAGAAGGGCUUCGGCUUGACGGUACCUGCAGAAAAAGGACCGGCUAACUACGUG
rnacentral:rRNA from 1 species